rnacentral:lncRNA from 1 species
UCAAGACCCAAAAUCUAACAAUGGUCGUGAUGGCGCUUAUUGUGUUACAAGGCAAACCAAUUCCAAAAUAUUACUACUAAUUUGAUUAUAAAAAUCUAAUAAAAUAUUUCCAAUAAUUUAAUUCCUGAUAAACUAAACCAACUAUAAUAUAAUUAAUAUAAAAUACGAAAACGAGUCUCAAACAUCGGGAUGUUAUUAAGUCAUGAGCGUCUAAACAACAAACUAAGAUAUAUAAAUUGUCUAACUGUCCAAAAGAAGAAAUGACAAAGGAAGUAAAAAGAUCCUGCGGAUGCUGGCAGCUACCUUGCAAUCUCUACAGAUAGCCGGCCUGAAAUCAACGAUCGCCGCACUCUACCUCACCUGGAUCUGCACGUAAGGUGCAGGGUGUACUAUUAGUACUACCACCUUAAGUAAUAGAAAUAACUAAGGAACUAAAUAGUAGUGACGGGUAUCACACCUCCUUUUUACCGCGCCCGCGAGGACGGCAAGGAGUUUUUCCAAUUGAAGGACAAUCAGAACGAGAUCUAUUUAUUAUUUAUUUAGAGUCGCCACUUGGAAGAUUAAUGGUGUCCCAAGUCACCGGUUGAAUCCCGAACCGAGAAAAAUCAUGACUCUGUUAACAGUCCGCGAACCAGAAAUAUGGAUAAGGAAUUCUUUUAACUCGGGAGAAGGUGUUAGGCAUUCCCGAAUUCCGUGGUCCUAGCAUGGUCGCUCAACUAUUGCAUUUAGCUUAUUAUCUGAUUUUAUUACAUGACGAACAUAUGUGCCAAUUUUUACUUUUUUACCGCUUUUAUUUAAUAUGUAUUUAUUUAAGUAAGCGAACGUCGUUUAAAGUGUGCUUUCGGAUUGCACCGCCGGAGAACGCAAUCCUAGGCAAACUCUAUCUAAAGUUUUAGAAUUUGGAUUUGGUCCGCAUAAAAUGCCCGCACGUAUUUAGGAAUGUAGUUUAUUAAAGUCGCGCCUAAUAGAGUCUAGCACGUUGUAAUCUUUUGGGAGAGUCGUGAAAUUCACUAAGCGAUCCUUCCCGAUUUUUCUAAAUAAUUUUAAACCUUUACUGAGGGCCCCGCAUUUUACGUAUUUUUAUUUGGCGAGGCACGCCUCACUUUUAAAGGGUAAUCCUAAAAUGGCUAUAUUCUUCUAUUUUUGGCCCGUCUCUAAAAUAAAAGAGAAAAAUUCUAAUUAAUUACAUGCUUAAAAAUGUAACAUAUUAAUUGCUAGAUUAAAAUAAAUAUUAGUAAACAAACAAUCGAAAUUAUAAAUAAAAUAAAGAAUAAAAUUUCAAAAUUAUAAAUAAAAGAUGAAACAAACAAUCGAAAUUUUUCGUUUCUUUUUUUGCUUUUGAGUAAUAAAACAUUUUUUUUCAUUUUCUUAAAAAAUUCUGCAGAAUUUUGACAGUAUUUGGGCAUUAGUUUUUUUUUCAAAUAUUCCAAAGCCAGUCAGCAUGCAAGUCCGAGACAACUAAAUGCACGGAACACAAGUAGGAUGCAUCAACAUGGUCUUUUCAGUUUCAGGUUGCUAUUCCUAGACGGACCCAACCCCUGUGUUGAGUCCCCUAAGUAAAAAAUGCNNNNNNNNNNNNNNNNNNNNNNNNNNNNNNNNNNNNNNNNNNNNNNNNNNNNNNNNNNNNNNNNNNNNUCAGUUUCAGGUUGCUAUUCCUAGACGGACCCAACCCCGGUGUUGAGUCCCCUAAGUAAAAAAUGCACAUGAUGCAGAUAAGCGUUCCUACUAGGGGUCUAGCAUGAAGUCACGUUAUUCUAUGUUCAAAACUUGGGUCGGUGUUCUAGAUCGUGUACCCGAGCGGAUAACUCGAGUCGGGGAGGGGACAACUUACCGGGAACCAAAAGGCCAUCUGGCAUCGUAACUUGUCCGAGCAUCUUUCCUAUUUCAGGGGUAUGACCCUAACAGACCCCGGAGAUAAAGAGAGAAGGGUGUCGGCACAGUUUAUAUAUAGAUCAUAUAAUAUCAAAACAGUAACAUUUAGCACAUUCAGCAUGAAGCAUGUAGAAAAAUCAGAUAUAGUCAAAUACAACAAUUUAUCUAAACUCGAAUUCUGAACCCUCGACCAGUGGUUCUGGGAGAUUCCCCAGCAGAGUCGCCAGAGCUGUCACACCUCCUUUUUACCGCGUCCGCGAGGGUGGCAAGGAGUAUUUCCAAUUAAAGGACAAUCGGAACAUGAUUUGUUUAUUAUUUAUUUAGAGUAGCCACUUGGGAGAUUAAUGGUGUCCCAAGCCACCGGUUGAAUCUUGAACCAAGGAAAAUCAUGACUCUGUUAACAGUCCGCAAACCAGAAAUCCGGAUAAGGAAUUCUGUUAACCCUAGAGAAGGUGUUAGGCAUUCCCGAGUUCCGUAGUUCUAGCACGGUCGCUCAAGUGUUGCAUUUAGCAUAUUAUCUGAUUUUAUUAUAUGAAGAACAUAUGUGCCAAUUUUUACUUUUUUACCGUUUUUAUUUAAUAUGUACUUAUUCAAGAAAGUGAACGUUGUUUAAAGUGUGCUUUCGGAUAGCGCGACCGGAGCCCGCAAUCCUAUGCAAGAUCUAUCCAACUUUUAGGAUUUGGAUUUGGGCCGCAUAAAUGCCCUCCCGUAUUUAGGAAUGUAGUUUAUUAAAGCCACCUAAUAGAGUCUAGUGCGUUGUAAUCUUUUGGGAGAGUCGUGAAAUUCGCUAAAUGACCCUUCCCGAUUUUUUUAAAUAUUUUUAAACCUUUACUGAGGGCCCCGCAUUUUACGUAUUUUUAUUUGACGAGGCACGCCUCACUUUUAAAGGGUAAUCCUAAAACGGCUACAUUCUUCUAUUUUUGGCCCGUCUCUAAAAUAAAAGCAAAAAAUCCUAAUAAUUACAUGCUUAAAAUGUAAUAUAUUAAUUGCUAGAUUUAGACAAAUAUUCAGUAACAAAACUAAAUAAAAUUAAAACUUCAACUAUUUAUUUGUAUUCAUGCUUCAUGUUAUCAACUUAUAAGGUGUACCAGUUGUGUACCUGAUAUUAGAAGCAAAAGAAGAAGAUGAGUGAUCAGCAGGAUGGCAGUAGCAAUACACAUAAACAACAAACAACCAGUAGCACUAAUGCAGUAGCCCAGAAACAGAGUUUGAAAACCGGUGGAGCAGUAACCCAAAAACCAACCAGACUUAGGAAAAACCAAGCAAAGACCCAGAAAUCCCAAUAACUCUUACAUGUAUGACAGAAUGAACCCAAAAAGACGGAAGAGGCAACGGGAUAAUUCUGAUUUUUUGUUCUUUAAGAUGCGGAGUAGAACACUCUCAAACUACAGACUCUCUAUGAUUUUAGAAAAUUAGUACUCUUCUCUCAGUCCUCAUCUCUCAAGAUUAAAAGUCUAUUUUUAUCUCCUCUUUAGUUCCGAAAUUUCUCUCUCCAAAUUCCUCCUCGCCUAAGUGUUAAAUGACUGCUAUUAUAUACCCCAAAUGCAAGACCAUUUCC